GAUGAAGAACGUAGCGAAAUGCGAUAAGUAAUGUGAAUUGCAGAAUUCAGUGAAUCAUCGAAUCUUUGAACGCACAUUGCGCCCUCCGGUACUCCGAGGGGCAUACCUGUUCGAGCGCCGUUGUACUACUGAGGCUCUGCCUUGCGGUGGCUGGUCCUCUGCCCGGCUGACGGGUGGAGGAUGGCCGAAACGGAUGGGCGUCCUGCGGGCUGUGUCCAGCGUAGCAAGUCUCUCGCUGGGCUGCGGUCUCGGGGGGGCGCCAGCACACACACACAAGACAACGACACUUGGCCUCGGAUCAGGUAGGGAUACCCGCUGAACUUAAGCAUAUCAAUAAGCGGAGGA
rnacentral:misc_RNA from 1 species